AUGUUUAUAGUUUAAACGGUUGGU
rnacentral:siRNA from 1 species